GGCAGUUCUCAGGUGGCACACCCGAGAAUCGGGCUCCCUCAUCUCUGGUUCCGAGGUGUAUCACCUGAGAACCACC
rfam:Myotis lucifugus cont2.57412, whole genome shotgun sequence.